ACCCUCUAGUGCUCUUUCCCAUCAAAUCCCAACACUGGUAUUGCUGGUUGUAAGGGAGGGAAAGCAGUGCUGAAGCUGGCCUCCCAACCCUAGAGUCCAGUGUGCACUGUGGGCUAGCUUCCAACAGGG
ensembl:snoRNA small nucleolar RNA SNORA61